rnacentral:rRNA from 1 species
CCUACGGGAGGCAGCAGUGGGGAAUCUUGCGCAAUGGGCGAAAGCCUGACGCAGCAACGCCGCGUGCGGGAUGAAGGCCUUCGGGCUGUAAACCGCUUUCAGCAGGAACGAAAAUGACGGUACCUGCAGAAGAAGGAGCGGCCAACUACGUGCCAGCAGCCGCGGUGACACGUAGGCUCCAAGCGUUGUCCGGAUUUAUUGGGCGUAAAGAGCUCGUAGGCGGUCUAAUAAGUCGGGUGUGAAAACUCUGGGCUCAACCCCGGAGACGCCAUCCGAUACUGUUAUGACUUGAGUUCAGGAGGGGUANCGGGGAAUUCCUAGUGUAGCGGUGAAAUGCGCAGAUAUUAGGAGGAACACCGGUGGCGAAGGCGCCGCUCUGGACUGAAACUGACGCUGAGGAGCGAAAGCAUGGGUAGCAAACAGGAUUAGAUACCCUGGUAGUCCAUGCCGUAAACGGUGGGCACUAGGUGUGGGUUUCAACUACGAAAUCCGCGCCGUCGCUAACGCAUUAAGUGCCCGCCUGGGGAGUACGGUCGCAAGACUAAACGCAAAUGAAUUGACGGUU